AAAGACCUCUUUCCUUAGCAUUCCAUCCAAAAUCUACUAUUACAGUUUUGUUUAAUCCCCAUACUACCCUUAUAAUUACUAUUCAGACACUUUUAACCCUCUUGAGUUAUAUCUCACCUUGUUUCUCUCUUGCAUUCGGUUUCUCCCAAUAAGGGAUUUCUCCUUUGUGACCAAGCUUCUACUUCUUCACCAAGUUCCUAGUUACAGUAGAAAGGGAUUUCUUCUUCCUCACGAGUUUCAGCCACACAGGAUUUGUUUCAGUCGCAAUUUCUGAGUUACAGUAGCAAGAGAUUUCUUCUUCCACACAAGUUUCAGCCACAGUAUUUGUUUCAGUCGUAAUUUCUGAGUUACAGUAGCAAAGGAUUUCUUCUUCCUCACGAGUUUCAGCCACACAGGUUUUGUUUCAGUCGCAAUUUCUGAGUUAAGGCCCAGGGGCUCGGGAAAAGAGCAGUUUCAUUCUUCGGUGUCUCCCCCCUUCCACUAUCAUAGAGCGAGCAUCAAAGAAAAAAUCAUGCGGUGAUCCAAACUCAAAUCUUAAUAACAAGAAAAUUUGCUGUUGAAAUAGCUCAAGAGAGGGUGCUAUUAAGAUGAAUUUUGAUACUUCACAGAAUGAUAAUGAUUUAUGUUCGAUUGUUUGCAUUGCCAGAAACCAUUUUGGGGUUGUCCUUUAUUCCAUAGGCUUGAAUUUGAUUAGUGUUGCUGAAGCUUGGGCUAUGUAAGAAAUUCAUAAUGUCAGGAAUCAUGUCAUCAGUAUGGAAGGGGACUCACUCCUUGUGAUCUCAUGUGUUAAGAAGCAAAUUGGAAUUUCAUGGAGAUUGAAACAGUGUAUAUUGGAUAAAUAACGAGUUGAAGGGUAGUCCUACUGCAUCAUUAUCUACAGGUACUCAAGUGCCCCAAAACACAAUAUUAUGGCAUUGUGUCCCACAAUAUAUAAUCAAGGUGGACUUAAUUCAAUUGAUGUGACUUAGAAUCUGAGCAGCCCAAUGUCCAAACUAUUCUUCAGUGGCAUAAAUUCAAUCUGUCCAAUUUCAGUGGAUA